rnacentral:lncRNA from 1 species
GUUGCAUCAUUAAAGAUGCUUUUUUCUAAACCCUACUGUAGGUUUUCUGUUAAAAUGAACACAUGAAAUAUUUGACUGAAAACGGCUACUGGGAACGAUCAAAAACUUCCCAAGGAGUAUAUCCAAGAUAACCGAGUCCAGCCUCAAUCCUUGGGAUGACUAGCGGAGGAAAUCCGAUGCGAGAUAUUUGGACCUCGAUCUGAAACUCGACGG